UACGUAGGGGGCGAGCGUUGUCCGGAUUUAUUGGGCGUAAAGAGCGUGUAGGCGGUUCGGUAAGUCUGUCGUGAAAUCCUGAGGCUCAACCUCGAGACGUCGGUUGAAACCGUACGGCUAGAGUCCGGAAGAGGAGAGUGGAAUUCCCGGUGUAGCGGUGAAAUGCGCAGAUAUCGGGAAGAACACCCGUGGCUAAGGCGGCUCUCUAGUACGGUACUGACGCUGAGACGCGAAAGCGUGGGGAGCGAACAGG
rnacentral:rRNA from 1 species